rnacentral:rRNA from 1 species
UACGUAGGGUGCAAGCGUUAAUCGGAAUUACUGGGCGUAAAGCGUGCGCAGGCGGUUUGUAAGUCUGUCGUGAAAUCCCCGGGCUCAACCUGGGAAUUGCGAUGGAGACUGCAAGGCUAGAAUCUGGCAGAGGGGGGUGGAAUUCCGCGUGUAGCAGUGAAAUGCGUAGAGAUGCGGAGGAACACCGAUGGCGAAGGCAGCCCCCUGGGCCAAUACUGACGCUCAGGCACGAAAGCGUGGGGAGCAAACAGG